GAUGAACGCUGGCGGCGUGCCUAAUACAUGCAAGUCGAGCGAACAGACGAGGAGCUUGCUCCUCUGACGUUAGCGGCGGACGGGUGAGUAACACGUGGAUAACCUACCUAUAAGACUGGGAUAACUUCGGGAAACCGGAGCUAAUACCGGAUAAUAUAUUGCACCGCAUGGUUCAAUAGUGAAAGACGGUUUUGCUGUCACUUAUAGAUGGAUCUGCGCCGCAUUAGCUAGUUGGUAAGGUAACGGCUUAUCAAGGCAACGAGGCGUAGCCGACGUGAGAGGGUGGUCGGCCGCACUGGAACGUGGACACGGUCCAGGGUCCUACGGGAGGCAGCAGUAGGGAAUCGUCCGCAAUAGGCGAAAGCCUGACGGAGCGACGCCGCGUGAGUGAUGGAGGUCUUCGGAUCGUAAAACUCUGUUAUUAGGGAAGAACAAAUGUGUAAGUAACUAUGCACGUCUUGACGGUACCUAAUCAGAAAGCCACGGCUAACUACGUG
rnacentral:rRNA from 1 species